AGCGUAGGCGGGUACGCAAGUUAAAUGUUAAAACUAUCGGCUCAACCGAUAGCUGCGUUUAAAACUGCAUAUCUUGAGUGGAGUAGAGGCAGAUGGAAUUCCUAGUGUAGCGGUGGAAUGCGUAGAUAUUAGGAGGAACACUAGUGGCGAAGGCGAUCUGCUGGGCUUUAACUGACGCUGAGGCUCGAAAGCAUGGGUAGCAAACAGGAUUAGAUACCCUGGUAGUCCAUGCUGUAAACGAUGAUUACUAGGUGUGGGAGGACUGACCCCUUCCGUGCCGCAGUUAACACAAUAAGUAAUCCACCUGGGGAGUACGGUCGCAAGACUGAA
rnacentral:rRNA from 1 species